GAUGGAUAAUCGGUUAAUAUUCCGAUACUGACAUAUACCUCGAUGGAGAGACGAAAUCGCGUAAGUACCGCCUCCUGACGGAAUAGGAGGUUAAAGGGCGUAUGUAUAGGGGCAGAUUAAGAGUCAGUCCUUGCUGAAACCCGACAGUACAGAGAGCCUACGGGCAAUUUGAUAGUGUACCCAAGCAUGUUUCCGAGAAAAUCUUCUAAGUUAUAGUAUAUGUCACCCGUACCGUAAACCGACACAGGUGGUCGAGGAGAGUAUCCUAAGGUGCUCGAGUGAAUCACGGUUAAGGAACUAGGCAAAUUAACCCCGUAACUUCGGGAAAAGGGGUCCCAUCGCGAGGUGGGCGCAGCGAAGAGGUCCAGGCGACUGUUUAUCAAAAACACAGGGCUCUGCAAAUUCGAAAGAAGACGUAUAGGGCCUGACACCUGCCCGGUGCUGGAAGGUUAAGAGGGGAUGUCAUCGCAAGAGAAGCAUUGAAUCGAAGCCCCAGUAAACGGCGGCCGUAACUAUAACGGUCCUAAGGUAGCGAAAUUCCUUGUCGGGUAAGUUCCGACCUGCACGAAUGGUGUAACGAUCUGGACACUGUCUCAACCGUGAGCUCGGUGAAAUUGUAGUCCCGGUGAUGAUGCCGGGUACCCGCAACGGGACGAAAAGACCCCGUGAACCUUUACUAUAGCUUAACGCUGAAUUUGGGUACACAAUGUGUAGGAUAGGCAGGAGACUACGAAGCGGGCACGCCAGUGUUCGUGGAGUCGACGUUGAAAUACUGCCCUUUGUGUACUUGAGUUCUAACCCUCGAGAGGGGACACCGUUUGGUGGGUAGUUUGACUGGGGUGGUCGCCUCCAAAAGAGUAACGGAGGCUUCCCAAGGUACCCUCAGCACGAAUGGUAACCGUGCGUAGAGUGCAAUAGCAUAAGGGUGCUUGACUGUGAGACCAACAAGUCGAUCAGGUGCGAAAGCAGGGUAUAGUGAUCCGGUGGUUCUGCGUGGACUGGCCAUCGCUCAAAGGAUAAAAGGUACUCCGGGGAUAACAGGCUGAUC
rnacentral:rRNA from 1 species